rnacentral:rRNA from 1 species
GUAGGGAAUUUUGCGCAAUGGGGGAAACCCUGACGCAGCAACGCCGCGUGAUUGAUGAAGCCCUUCGGGGUGUAAAGAUCUGUCAGUGGGGACGAAACUUGACGGUACCCACAGAGGAAGCACCGGCUAACUCCGUGCCAGCAGCCGCGGUAAUACGGAGGGUGCAAGCGUUGUCCGGAAUCAUUGGGCGUAAAGAGUUCGUAGGUGGUUUGUUAAGUUUGGUGUUAAAUGCAGGGGCUCAACCUCUGUUCGGCAUCGGAUACUGACAGACUUGAAUGCGGUAGAGGUAAAGGGAAUUCCUGGUGUAGCGGUGAAAUGCGUAGAUAUCAGGAGGAACAUCGGUGGCGAAAGCGCUUUACUGGGCCGUAAUUGACACUGAGGCACGAAAGCGUGGGUAGCAAACAGGA